rnacentral:lncRNA from 1 species
CAGCCCCCAAGGGUGUUUUCCCUUGGCUACCUGCGCUGCGAGGAGAGAAGGGAAUUCAGAGAAGGGGCACAAGGUGGGCGUCCCUGGGAGGGGGCGCGACUGGAGGAGACAGAACGGGGAGCGGGUGCCAAAGCGCGGGCCUUUGCUCCGCCUGGGCGCAGUGGGAGCACCAACUGGCAGAGUUGGAAACUUUUCCUCCACGUGGCACCACAGUGCGUGGACGAGUGACCCUGCGCCCGGAUGACCCCUGGGAUCCCCGCCUCGUCUUCCAGCGGGGGACCUUGGGACGCACGGGUGGCUUCAGAUCCGGGAGCGCGAGGCCUAACAGCCGGGGGCCGAACUUGAACCUCGGAGGCGGCCGCGGGCGAGGGGCGGGGCCGAAGGAGCCGGGACCGCCGCCCCAGCUCGAGGACUCGUUAGACCGGCAAACCGCAGUCCCUGCCCCGCGGGCUUCCUUUACUUUUUGGGAGUGGGGGGGCGGUUUCCCUGCUUUUUCCACCACAGCCCCUCCUCCCGCCGCAAUGUGGCUGAUGCUCAUAAAAAGUUGUAUUAAAGAGCUGACUGCAGCCGAGAAUCGAUCAACAAAAGCGACCAGCCUCUCUGAGCAAAACAGCUGUGCGUUUUUCAGGGCACUGGAAUUGAUCUAUACGGAUCAGAAAGACCGACAGCCCGCUCUCAGCAGCCUCUUGGAUACGCUUCACUUUCUGUCCAGGCACAUAAACACCACGGCACCAACCCUUCGUCCUCCCUAGUAGCCCAUACUUGUGGAGGAAGAAAAGGAAAAUAAACUGGCAUGUAUUAAUUACAAUGGGCCAGGCACCGUGCUAGAGCGCUGUGUAUAUGAUUUCACCUCUUUAGAAUACAAAUGUGCACAUUUUAUUAGUAUUACUGGAAGGAGGGUGGUAGAGAAAACGGUAAGGACGUGUUUUCUCUCACAAUCUGACACAUCUAUGAUUGAGUGAUUGAUUGUUUUUCAUUUAACAAUUAUUAGGCCUUACCAGGCUUAGCAGGCACAGUUGUAGGUGCUGGGAAUACAGCGUUGUACAAAACAGAAAAGAUACUGCUUCUUGACGUUCUAGCAGGCAAGCCUCUCUCGUCUUAUAAUUCCUAAUAACAAUUUAAUAGGUUGUCUUUCUCUUGUUUUAGGUCACACUCCUUCAGCUUCCCCGUUUCUGAAUCCCAGGUCUGGAUCUUUAUGAAAUCAGAUGGAGAGAUGGGGUUGGGGGGACGGUGAGGGGCAAGUUGCCAGGAACAGAAAGGAACAUCCACCCGACUGUGACAGAUGAGCUUUAUGCCAGUCCAGGAAACAAAACAUUUGACCUUAGUCUAUCCACGGCCUUCUCAACAGAUGACUUCAAGUUGAUUUCGUGCUUUAUUUCUUAAGAAUAGUGACUAACCUACGGGAUCUGAUUCAAUUUAUUAGGAACACAGUGCCACCUUCCAAAAUUACUUACCUAAGAGGACUGAGCCUGCUGUCCCUGGAGCAGUUAGCUAAAACAGUGCCUCAGUACGGAGCGUACCUGUGUUAACUUCUAGAGUGCUGUUUCCGGCAGCUGCUGAAAUCCACGCUGAGGUUAUCAAGCUCAUCCUACAAAAUAAAGCAAGUUCUUCGGAAUUUAAAGCAAAAAUCUGGGCUUAUUUUUAGGGUUUUAGGGGAUGUGAAAGUUGUCUUAGAUAAGAUUCCAGGAAAGCUAAGAACUAAUGAUGCAAUUACAGUCACCUUUCAACAACUUUGGGGAUUGGGUUGAGGAAGGUGUGAAAUUGGGAAAUAUAAUAAAAGGUAUUAUAUUAGUGACUUUCUAGAGUAGCCCUUGGCAGUCCUGUCUUUAAAGAGUAAUAACUGGAAAAAAAAAAUGGAUGGUAAUACGCUGCAUCCAAGAACCUUGCCUCUGGUGAGGGUAAUUUGCAAACGCAUUUUGGGAUAAUGUUCAGGAUCCAAGUAUAAUCUUCCCUGGAAUUAGCAAUGCCUUUUGGGUCAGAGUUUCAUAGGUUUCUUCAAUCAUACAAUUAAAAUUGUUUCUGGAUUAUAUUGCCCAUAUUUGUUUCUAAUUCUCCAUUUUGCCUGUGUUUUAACUGCUAGCGAUUAAUAACUGCCAUAUAAUAAGCUAAGCAUUUAUUAUGUUUCAGGCACUGUUCUAACUGCAUUAAAAUAAUAUCUCAUUUAAUUCUCAUAAAUUUUGAGAAAAGUUUUAUUAUUCCUAUUUUACAGUUGAGUAAACUGAGGCUUAAAGUUAAGCAUAUUGUCCAAGGUGCCUCCACUCCUUAGUCAUAAGCUAAAUUUGAUCUGAGUGACUCCAAAACCUGUUCUCUUAAUGGUUAUGCUGAAAUGCCCUUCUUAGAAUGAUUCCUCAGGAAGUCAAAUGCUAGGUAUAUAUAGUACAACCACUUUGGAAAACUGUUUGGCAAUAUCUGUUAAAGUUAAACAUAUGAAAACCCUAUGGCCCAGCAGUUCCACACUUAGGAAUAUACCAAUGUCCCAUGUGUGCCAAAAGACUAUUAAAUCACUCAGAGCAACCCUAUUCAUAAAUAACCCCCAACCAGGAAACAACCCAAAUGGUCAUAAACAGUAAAAUAGAUAAAUAAUUGGUGGUAUAUUCAUACAACAGAGUACAUUCUACCACACUAAGAAUGAACAAUCUGCUUCCAAAUGCAGUAAAAUAUAUGAACCUUACAAAUAUGCUAAGUGAAAAAAGGGAGAUGUACAAUUGCAGGACUCCAUUUAUGUGAAGUACAGAAACAGACAAAAGUCAUUGAUGCUAUUCAAAGUCAGGAUAGUGGUUACCCUUGAGAGAGAGCUGAUGACUAGGAGAGAACACCAAUCGGCUUCUGGGGAGCUGGUAGUGUUGUUUCUUGAGCUGGGUACUGGUGUGUUCAGUUUGUGAAAAUUCAUUGAGCUGUACUAUUGAUAUAUGCAUCUCUGUGUAUGUAAAUUAUGCUUCAAUAAAAAGCUUUAAAAUG